ensembl:lncRNA
AUCGGCUGCUGUUGGGCGGUGGCGGCGGCUGCUGCAAUCCUUUGACGUUAUAGGGAGAAAGGCCUGGGAGGAGUGGCCGUUCGCUCACGUUGUUUUGGGUCCCACAGAUGAACUUCUGUCCUACCUAUCGGGCUCUCCUACAGCCACUGCGCAUCCACCCUAAAGCCUGCAACCACUGCUUCCUCACCGUCUCCAGAGUUUGCCUUUUCCACAGUGGCAUAGAGUUGGAAUCACACGCUUCCCUCCAAUGGCAACAAUGCGGAAAACUGUGGACCACGUCACAGCCGGAACCCUGACACCAGUACAACCAAGUACAAAGCAUCACCCUCACCGGGUGCCCACUCCCAGCCACGCUCCGGGCCCUCGAGCAGCAGUUUUAACGUCUUGUCCAGCGUUUAUGGUUGUGAUCUUCGGGAGGACCGGCUCCGGGGAGGGGCUGCUCUGCACAAGCGGAACCUGCUCCUCUCUGUGGGUGUGUUACGGAAGUUUCCACAUUUCUUCACCUGUGGAAAGCUUCCCCCCAGUUUUUCCUUUAUCUAUCAUGUUUAUUCCCACGAAGAGUUUAAAAAGUGUGACACAGUUAAUUUUAUCCGCCCUUCUCUCAGUGCCUCUGGAUUUUGUAUCCAGAGGUGUCCAGGUCUGCUCAGAGCAGUCUUCUUCAUCCCAAGAUCAUAAAAAUGGGCACCUCUACUCUCCCCAUGACCUCUCUUUCCUUCUUCUUUCACAUUUAAGUCCUUGAUCCAUCUGAAAUGUAUUUAAUACAUGGAAUGAAGAAUAAAGAUUGGAGUUUGUUUUACCAAAUGGA